GCCAGGCAUGGUGGCGUAUGCCUGUAGUCCCAGAUACUCUGGAGGCUGAAGCAGGAGGAUCACUUGAGCCCAGGAGUUCAAGGCUGCAGUGAGCUUCCACCGCACUCCAGCCUGGGUGAUAGAGCAAGACCCUGUGUCUU
rnacentral:SRP_RNA from 1 species